GACGAACGCUGGCGGCGUGCUUAACACAUGCAAGUCGAGCGGAAAGGCCCUUCGGGGUACUCGAGCGGCGAACGGGUGAGUAACACGUGAGUAACCUGCCCUAGGCUUUGGGAUAACCCCGGGAAACCGGGGCUAAUACCGGAUAUGACCUGGUGCCGCAUGGUGUUGGGUGGAAAGUUUUUUCGGCCUGGGUUGGGCUCGGGGCCUAUCAGCUUGUUGGUGGGGUGAUGGCAUACCAAGGCGAUGACGGGUAGCCGGCCUGCGAGGGCGACCGGCCACACUGGGACUGAGACACGGCACAGACUCCUACGGGAGGCAGCAGUGGGGAAUAUUGCACAAUGGGCGGAAGGCUGAUGCGGCGACGCCGUGUGAGGGAUGAAGGCCUUCGGGUUGUAAACCUCUUUCAGCAGGGACGAAGCGUGAGUGACGGUACCUGCAGAAGAAGCGCCGGCCAACUACGUG
rnacentral:rRNA from 1 species